AAUCCAUAGUUUAAUUAAAAUAUUAUAAUUGCAUUAUAAAGAUAAAAAAUUUUUUUUUUUUGGAUUUAA
rnacentral:tRNA from 1 species